AACUUUCAACAACGGAUCUCUUGGUUCUGGCAUCGAUGAAGAACGCAGCGAAAUGCGAUAAGUAGUGUGAAUUGCAGAAUUCAGUGAAUCAUCGAAUCUUUGAACGCAUAUUGCGCCCUUUGGUAUUCCAAAGGGCAUGCCUGUUCGAGCGUCAUUUGUACCCUCAAGCU
rnacentral:rRNA from 2 species